UUUUUUUUUUUUUAAUUUUGAAGCUACCUGAGGUUUAGAAUUCCUUCAGCCCUAGCUGCUUUUAUUCUGCUUUUUAUUUAAACAAAAAGAGGGGGAGGAUCUGAAGGAAACUAGUUUUCUGUACAAAGGCUUUGAGGUCCAUGGACUAUACUUGUCCCAUUUAUCAUCCCAGGUGGUGCUUUGACCCUGCCAUACCCUGGCUAUUAAGAUAAAAAGAUUUGUGGACAUUAAAAUUAUGAAUAUGUCAGUAAUAAUCCAGCACACAUUGAAAUAUUGACACAGAUUACCAUAAUUUGUGCAACAUCUUAUAAACAAUGUCAUUUCCAUAGUAGUCUAAGGCUUCACCAGCCUGGCCCACUGUAUCUAGACUUUAGGUUCAUUUUAAUAAUUAUGCUUUCCUUCUCUGUAUCAUUUGGGAAGUUGAUAAAUAUCACUUCCUUAGAUACCUUCAUUCAGUGAUAUAUCUGGCUUUUACAAUUAAAUUGGAAAAGGUAAGUUUCUCUUUGGUGGGUUGAGAGUUGGACCAUCAAUUCUAAUCUACAAAAGGAAAUUCAUGAUUUCACUCUGACGCCUAGGAUCUAGCCAAGGCUGGUCUGCAGUAUCAGAUGUCCAAACUCAUCUACUAUUAGCCAUAUUUUGUGAGUCGUUUGUCUAAACUUUGUCAAAAAUGCCUUUGCCAUGAUUUUGUUGCUAUCUGGAUUUCAAACAUGGACAGUUAGGAAGAUGUGCAUUGAAGUAGGAAAAUUUUGUUCAGAUUUGCUGUUAUUUAUUUUUUAAAUUAAAAAUGGAAAUGUAUUUUAAAGUUU
rnacentral:lncRNA from 1 species